GGGCGCUUACCGCCUUCACGGGGUCACUCCUGUACCUCCGAGCCAGAGGAGGGGUCGGAGUCAGCCGCCAGCUUCUCAGAGAAGGAAGAGUCCCCAAAGGCAGAGGCGGAGCCCGCAGGCGCAAAGCCGGAGUCCCCCAAAGCACAGAGCGACUCCCAGCUGUUCAAUCAGCUUCUGGUGACUGAGGGGAUGGCUCUGGCCCCUGAAACACAGGCGGCAGCUACUGAAAUGGCCAGAACCUUGCGGGGUCCCGGUCCACGCAGCUCCCUGGAUCAGCAUGUGGCAGCCGUCUUAGCCACUGUGCAGAUCUCCAGCCUGGAUACAAACCUGCAGCUUUCAGGGCUCGGUGCCCUCUCCCAGGCGGUGGAGGAGGUCACUGAGCGGGACCACCCUCUGGUCCGUCCUGACA
rnacentral:lncRNA from 1 species